GGUAGAAGGAUGAAAGAUAACUAGUAAGUACCUAUACUUAAAUAUUUAAACUUUUUCAAUCAUAAAUUUUUUUUUGUUUAUGGGGCGGUUUCCCGGACAGGGAUUAGACUAGUCCUAGACUUAAACACUUUUAAGAGCUCUCCAAACUGAAAACAACUUCUUGCACUGACAUGUCUUAAAAUACAUCAGUGCCCUUUGUUUUACCUCAAAUGCACACAGGUAAUGUUUUAAGUAAGGCAUGUUUGUUAAAACUAGUUAUAUUUCCUAAAUUAAACUAAGGCCUAGUCCUGGAUUAAGCUAAUCCUGGUCCGGGAAACCGCCCCUAAAUGUCUAACAAACGUAUAAAGGGAUGCAAACGUUUAUGUGAUUCAUGUGUAAUGUAAUGCGUUAGUUAUAUUGUCCAUGUCAGUGGUGAAGCUACGAGUUGAGUUGUGGCCCACCCAAUCAGAAGGCCAUUUUCCAGACAAAUGUGUAAAUAAUUUAAGAAAAAUAAAUAAAUAAUAGUACUACGAAUAGACGUCUUAUCACACUAUAAUUUCAUAUAUGUAAUAAAAUUAUAAAUAUAAUUAAAAUAUAAAAUUUAAGUGCAAGUUUGCAUGUUCAGGCAGUUUCGCAGAUUUCUUUUACCCUAUAGGUGCACACGCUUGUCAACAUGAAACGUUGAAUAUGAUUCGUCAGUCAUUGUUAGUUCCGCCUACGCGCGAUUGAACUGAAUUUGAAAAUAGCGAGUCGCAAAUCAUCAAGUUUAACAGCCUUUCCACGAUGACAUCUGCUGCUGUCUGUUUACUUUUGGAGACAGAGACUAUUACAUCACUCAUGGAAAUGUUGGAUUACUGAGGACAUCUUUUCAAACGUCAACAAAAUGAAACGAGCACUUACUUUGAUAAUGACUUCAUCCUGUGUUGAAAGACUGUUCUUCACCACAUAUUGUAUAAAAAACAUAUAACGUUACGCUCAUCGAUGAUAAAUGCUCGUCUGAGAAAUGUAUUUCUGCUUUUUUUUGCGCGAAGGGACAUAUUAUGAUCAAAGAUAUUGGACUUUGUUAUUAUGAUCGAGACUUUCUCCAUCUUUAAAGGGCCAUUUCACCGAUAGGAACAUUAAUCUUUAUGGAAAGUGAGUCAUAUUUGUAGUCAAAAUGUAACAUAAAUUUAGAAUUUUGUGCCUAUUUGACAGAGAAAAGACAAAAUGUGACUUUAGAGCACAUUUGUAUGAAAAACUACAACUGCCACUAUGCACCACAAUGCACAGCUCUGCAAGCCACUCCCAUUAAUCGGAACACGGCUCAGACAUGCUAUUAUGUACAUAAAUGCCACGUUAGUAAAACAGAGAAAAUAUAGCCACCACCACUGUGUCUGACUGAAACCAAUCAUGAUUUACUUUUAAACGUGAUGUUACAUUGUGUUACACACAAUAACACUCUGGCCUGGUGUGUAGCAAAGUCUUAUUCAAACAGUAACGUGCAGUUUCAGAUCCGCAUUACAAAUGUCUUUCCAAGUACUUAAAAAAAGGGUAUGCAUUUUAAAUGUUUAUUUAGUUUUACCAAUUUUCUUUUUGUCUCUUGUUUACUGUAAUUACAUUUGUGUUAUUAUUGGCCUCACUGCUCUCACAAUAUAGACAUAUAAAACACCGCUCAGAUAUGCUAUUGUGUACAUAAAUGCCACGUUAGUUUAACAAAGAAAAUAUAAACACUCACUUUAGUCAGACGUCCGUUUAUCCCUGCAUCCUCCACACAAACGCGUCCCCUGCAUAAUAUCUCCACAGACGCGCUGCCUCAGCUCUUGGAGCUUGUGCUCGUAAACCGAAACACGUCUUUGAAAUAAGCACGCGACCAGAAACAUUCACAAAACAAACGUUCAUAUCCUUAUGUGAUCCAGAAAUGUUAAACCGAAAGCAAACAGAGCGAGUCCGUCCAAGCUUAUAUACUCCGCAGCGCGUCUGCUCGUAAACCGAAACAUGUCCAUGAAAUAAACGUUCCAAACGCGCGCAAAGUUCCUUUCUUGCCUAGAAACCUUCACCAAACAAACGUCCAUAUCCUUAUCUGAUGCAGAAAUGUAAUAAAGCAAGCACACAGCGAGAAUACAGGCAGUAGUCUGUCCAAGCAUCUCUACGCAGCAGAGGCCGAUGGUUGCUGCGUCUUCACCGGGCUCCUCUACCCAGCCGACGCCCAGGCUCCGGCUUCUCCUCGGGCUUCUGUUCCUACAUCUGCCUCAGCUCUUUGCAGUAUUGUGGCUCAUAAAGGUGCAAUGAACAGCGGAUUAGAGCAUCACGCUUGUAAAAUCACCCUCUUCCAUGUAAUAUUGAUUAACUUCCACUGUUAUUGUAACAUGAAUUCUGGCUCGCUCCACAACUUCUGUUUAGCUUAGCUUAGCAUAAAGAUGGCGGCUGAUCGUUUUUUUUCGGUCUGUGUUCGUAUAUUUUCGUAAGUCCCACCCACUUAUCUGUAAUUGGUCUGAAGCGUGAGUGGGUCCCACCAAUAGCCCCCACCUUGGAAAAAUGAGGAAUGAGUGUCUGUAGUCUUUCACACUCAAUAGAGAUACAGGAUUUCCUUCUUUCAAUGACGCAAAAUGACGAUUUUUACAUCAUUGAAAGAAGGAAGUGCCUCACUGAAAUCAGUAUUUCUCCCCUCUCAGGGGAAACUGAGGGAAUGGUGCACGACCAUUCAAAAACAUGACUGGGGUUCUAAAGGUACAAAGCUUAAUGCAAAUGGGUAAAGUUUCCCUUUAACCAGAAGUGGCCGUCUCAGACUAAUACAGUAGGACAUGUAACGGUGAGUUUAGACAUUUUCUUAAUGUUUAUAAUUGUGUCAUUAUUAUUUACAGUUUAUAGUCAGGAGUAUUACUCCAGUCAACUAUUUAGGGGGGCAGACUUUGUGUAGUUUCAUAGGUGUCAGGAUCCGUCAGAAUCAUGUCUUUUAUUAUAUCUAGUCUUUGUGUGCGGGGUCCUGCCAGUACCAUGUUCUAUGUGGGAAAUGUGUGGUUUUAGGGGUGUAUUACUCUGACCAAGCAUUUCCCGGGUCUCGUCACUUUUUCCCCGAUCCCUUACUUGUAAUGAUUUCCAGGUGUAUGUAAUUUAUUUUGUCCCUAUUUAAAGUCCUUGUGCUUGAUGUUCUUUGCUUGUGCGUUUGUAUUCUUGUUGUGAGUAUCCUGUGCUGAAUGUAUCAUGUCUAGUUUAUUGUUAUUUAGUAGAGUUUGUUUGUAAGUCAUUCUAGUUUAGUUAGUGUUUUUGUUAUCUUGUAUUUGUGAUGUUUUGCGACCUCGUGGGUUUUGUUUUUCUGUUUUUGUCUCUUUAUUAAAGUCAUCAGUGUUUUUUGUUACAUCCGUCUGCGCUUGGGUUUUUUGUCUUGCCAACCCUGACAAUAGGCUGUAUGAUUUACUGUUGUUGGAAUAUUUACACUUAAAUGACAACACAUGCAAUUUUGUAUUGCGCCAUGUUGUUUGAUGGCCAUUUUCUCAUUAAAUAACAAUCUCUGAAACAAGUUCUUUAGUAAAAUCACUACCUGUUGAAUCUGUCGUAGCCUAUGACGCUUUCACGUCAUGCAUUUUGCGGAUCUACUUUCACGCAACGUAAAUAACGUAAAAACUAAUUCCGUUACUAAUUCAGUGUAUAUUGAGUUCUGUGUUUUCAAGUGGAUUAAUAAUUUGGUGGGGCACUGCCCAUAGACUGUAUAAAACAGGCACAGCCACACCUGCCCAUAUACUGUAGAUAAGCUACUGUUGGUUAUUUAUAAGUUGUUUUAUAAUUUUCCCCUUGAAACAUUUUGCUGCCUGCAUGGCAUCAAGGUAACUUGGCUUAGGUAGCGUGCACACCAAAGCUUUUAAACGAAGCCUGGAGGACGCCGAAUGCCAGCUGUUCUUUCAGCCAAGAGCUUUGUAUGCUGUGAUACUUGAGCUGUGAGCCGGUUGGUUGUUGUGAUAUUUGUCCCGCCCUUCGUCCACUGUGAUUGGAUGGCCGUGUGAGAACUUACAUUGACGAGCUGAGCGUCUCACCCAAAGUUGAAUAUUUUUCGACCACAGCGCGGAACAAACGGACAGCUGCUGGCUGUUUUGAAAAAAAGCUGUGCUUCCAUUGGGAAAAAAGCACUUUGUCGUGCACGCCCCCAGUUUAUGUAUAUUCUGUGCUUUGCCCACCCUGUUUUAUAAAGGCCCACCCACUUGAACAUUUCUGGCUUCGCCACUGGUCCAUGUGACAUAAAUUGAUAUUAAAUUAGCUGUUUUCUAUAAGGUAAAGAAUUACUGUGAUCAUAUUAUAAUGAAGUAAUCGAACUUGGUUAUCUGGUCUUCCUGAUGUUAGAACAUUUAUUUAAAAAAUAAUAUUUAUCUGAAAAUGUAUUUCUGUAAUGUUUAAUUUAAUUUUUUUGUGAAAGUGUAUCAGGUCUGUGUUCAUCAAGACCUGAAGACUCUGGAGUGGGACAAAAGAAGGAUGAUGGGGUGUAUAUUCCAAUAGACACAUUAAGUGAAAGCUGAUAAAUACAGAGGGCUGGACAGUGGUUUCAUUGAUUAGGUAAAGAGGUGGGACAAUGAUGCUGACAGGACAGGAGGAGGUGACAUUCAGACAUGAACGGAGACAUUUUCAUCCAAAGCAACUUGAGGAAGAAAACAGAAGCAGUUCAUCCUAAAAGUGGGCUGCUGUAAUGUUUACAUCUAUGAAAAGAGGAGCUGAGAAGAAAAGAGAGGCUGGAAAGCAGUACUUCUUGUUGAGGACAAUCCUGAAUAUGAACACUUUCUCAUACACCUAGAUUAUUAUUAGUGUUUGAUUUUUUUUUUUCAUUUUUAUUAAUUGUAUUGUUUUAAUUUGACAUUUUAUUUGAAAUUACCAAAGUUAGAUUCAUGCUAAUACUUUAACUGGAACUUGUAUCUUUGCGUGAAGCUGGCUGUAGAGUUGGUUUCAAAUGCACAUGAAGUUUCUAAUUAACUAACUUUUAAGUUCAGUUUGGUUUAAACUUGUAUUUACCCAUGGUAAUUCAUUUAAAUUUCAAUUCAUGCUAAUAUAUUAAUUUCAAUGAAAACUUCUGUAUUUGUGUAUAGCUGGUAAUUUGGGCAAACUACAUUUCACACAUCAAUGUAACUGUCACAAAGGAUUUUUUUUAUUAUCAGUUUGUUCUAAACUUUUGUUUGUUUACUAAGGAUGAAAUUGCUUUGUAAUUUAAGUUGUUGAUGUUAGAUUCAUUCCAAUAAUGUAUUUGAACAAACUAGUAUUUUUGUUUAUUGCUGGCAGUUUAUACUAGAAGAGUUUUAACACAUACAAUGUUGUAGUGUUAUUGACUUGUGUGUUAUUGAUUAAUAAAAAGGCAAACAAUUUGAAAGUAAUUUUUCGUGUGAUUUAUUUAUUAAUAUAAUUUGGGCAAGAUUAGGCUGAGUUAUGGCUCAGUUAUGGAAGUUCUGGUUAAAUGCUGGUUUUAAUAUGGUUGACCUAUGGCUGAGAACUGGUA